GCAGUCGACGGCAGCACGGGGGCAACCCUGGUGGCGAGUGGCGAACGGGUGAGUAAYACAUCGGAACGUGUCCUGUAGUGGGGGAUAGCCCGGCGAAAGCCGGAUUAAUACCGCAUACGAUCUACGGAAGAAAGCGGGGGACCGAAAGGCCUCGCGCUAUAGGGGCGGCCGAUGGCHGAUUAGCUAGUUGGUGGGGUAAAGGCCUACCAAGGCGACGAUCUGUAGCUGGUCUGAGAGGACGACCAGCCACACUGGGACUGAGACACGGCCCAGACUCCUACGGGAGGCAGCAGUGGGGAAUUUUGGACAAUGGGGGCAACCCUGAUCCAGCAAUGCCGCGUGUGUGAAGAAGGCCUUCGGGUUGUAAAGCACUUUUGUCCGGAAAGAAAACUUCUGGGUUAAUACCCUGGGAUGCUGACGGUACCGGAAGAAUAAGCACCGGCUAACUACGUGCCAGCAGCCGCGGUAAUACGUAUGGUGCGAGCGUUAAUCGGAAUUACUGGGCGUAAAGCGUGCGCAGGCGGUUUGUUAAGACAGAUGUGAAAUCCCCGGGCUUAACCUG
rnacentral:rRNA from 1 species